ACCCAGACUCCUACGGGAGGCAGCAGUGGGGGAUAUUGCACAAUGGGGGGAACCCUGAUGCAGCGACGCCGCGUGGGUGAAGGAGCGUUUCGGCGCGUAAAGCCCUAUCGGCAGGGAAGAAGGAGGACGGUACCUGACUAAGAAGCCCCGGCUAACUACGUGCCAGCAGCCGCGGUAAUACGUAGGGGGCAAGCGUUAUCCGGAUUUACUGGGUGUAAAGGGAGCGUAGACGGCGGGGCAAGUCUGGAGUGAAAGGCCGGGGCCCAACCCCGGGACCGCUCUGGAAACUGCCCGGCUGGAGUGCGGGAGAGGUAAGCGGAAUUCCUAGUGUAGCGGUGAAAUGCGUAGAUAUUAGGAGGAACACCAGCGGCGAAGGCGGCUUACUGGACCGUGACUGACAUUGAGGCUCGAAAGCGUGGGGAGCAAACAGGAUUAGAUACCCUCGUAAU
rnacentral:rRNA from 1 species